rnacentral:rRNA from 1 species
GAUGAACGCUGGCGGCGUGCCUAAUACAUGCAAGUCGAGCGAAGCGGGGACGGGGGAGUAACACGUGGAUAACCUCCUAUAAGACUGGGGUAACUUCGGGAAACCGGAGCUAAACCGGAAAAUUAUAGAUGGAUGGGCGCUGCAUUAGCUAGUUGGUAAGGUAACGGCUUACCAAGGCCACGAUGCAUAGCCGACCUGAGAGUGUGAGCGGCCACACUGGAACUGAGACACGGUCCAGACUCCUACGGGAGGCAGCAGUGGGGAAUCUUCCUCAAUUGGCGAAAGCCUGACGGAGCAACGCCGCGUGGGUGAUGAAGGUCUUCGGAUCGUAAAGCUCUCUUACCAGGGAAGCGGUACCUGAUCAGAAAGCACCGGCUAACUACGUGCCAGCAGCCGCGGUAAUAC